rnacentral:rRNA from 1 species
GACGAACGCUGGCGGCGUGCUUAACACAUGCAAGUCGAACGGAAAGGCCCCUUUGGGGGUACUCGAGUGGCGAACGGGUGAGUAACACGUGAGUAACCUGCCCUUGACUUCGGGAUAACUUCAGGAAACUGGGGCUAAUACCGGAUAGGAAUCCUUGCUGCAUGGUGGGGGUUGGAAAGCUUCGGCGGUUUUGGAUGGACUCGCGGCUUAUCAGCUUGUUGGUGGGGUAGUGGCUUACCAAGGCUUUGACGGGUAGCCGGCCUGAGAGGGCGACCGGCCACAUUGGGACUGAGAUACGGCCCAGGCUCCUACGGGAGGCAGCAGGGGGGAAUAUUGCACAAUGGGCGGAAGCCUGAUGCAGCAACGCCGCGUGCGGGAUGACGGCCUUCGGGUUGUAAACCGCUUUCAGCAGGGGCGAAGCUUGUGGUGACGGUACCUGCAGAAGAAGCACCGGCUAACUACGUG